UCCAGGCCUACCGUGUUAUCUAUGAUGAGAAAAGGAGCUACAAUCCAGGCAUUACUGGAUCAUUCUCUCUCUCUUUUUUUUUUUUCCCCAAGAGAGUCGAAAGAAUUGAAUCCAGCAAGGAACCAGAAGCUGUGCCAUCAACCUCAGGCUCGGUAUCUCUUCUUGCCUGUUCACUGGAUGCCAGUCCCUGGAUGCCAGCUGUUAUACUGUACUACUGGACUUUGCAAGCUCAUUCUCACCUCAGCUUGAGCGGUUUGAGGAGGGUAAGAAUGGACAUGAGGAAUCAACUUAGGAGGCUACUUCCUGACAAUGGUGGCUUGAGUGAAGAUGGAGAGAAGGAAAUGUAUCCAAGAGACAUUUGGAGUUUUGCUAAAGUUUUGCCCAAGCAAUAAUGCUGAAGAAGCUGAAGUUCAAUGAUUCCAUGAAGACCUACAAGACCUUCU